rnacentral:rRNA from 1 species
CCAAGGCUAAAUACUCGUAAUCGACCGAUAGUGAACCAGUACCGUGAGGGAAAGGCGAAAAGAACCCCGGGAGGGGAGUGAAAUAGAUCCUGAAACCGUGUGCAUACAAACAGUAGGAGCCUCCUUGUGGGGUGACUGCGUACCUUUUGUAUAAUGGGUCAGCGACUUACAUUCAGUGGCAAGGUUAACCGAAUAGGGAAGCCGUAGAGAAAUCGAGUCCGAACAGGGCGAUAGUCGCUGGGUGUAGACCCGAAA